GUGACUUUGCUGAGCCUUCUGGGCUGUGGUUUAUGCAAGAACCUUCCAAGGACCCGGUUGAGUCACCGGCUGUGAUCAGGCAGCAUCUCCCCGCCUGCAGACCAAGAGCCAGGCAUGAGACGGCAGGAGCGCCGACCUGCAGGUCUGUCUGCAGCAGGACGCACGGCGGCUGACUCAGCGGAGACUUGCCCGGAACCUGGCUGCCAGGUUUCCCACUGCCAACGCUGAGCCGUCCCGAGGAGGAGCAGAGCAGAAGCCUCCAGCAAAGAAUAAAACAACAAGGCCUCUACCAUGCCACCCCUUCUGCCACCAUCGAUUCCACCAGGACAAAGCUAAGAUGUCAUGAGUUCAGAGAGCUCGAAGUGUCGUCAGAAGGAGGCUGCACCCACAGCAGGCAGAAGUUCCUGGGCCAAGAAUCGAACCCACACCACAGCAGCGACCCUAGCCACUGUUGUGACAAUGCCGAAUCCCUAGCCUGCUGGACCACACGGGAACCCCCGAACUGAGAUUUCCUCAUUCAACGCCCUUCCUGUGAUACGGCCUCGCUUAAGGAUGCUGUGUUUGUGUCUCUCAGCUCACUCACUAGAUCCUGGGAAGCGAGACUCCUUUCUAAUUUCCCCUCUGUUUCCCUUGCCCCUGUCAGAGGGGCACGGCCAUGGCAAGGAGCUGAAGAAAGAGCCAGGAGGCAUAGCUGGCACUUACUGAGUGCUCUCUCAGGACCCUGCAUUGUUCCAAGUCUUUCUUAAGUAUGUGAACACCCCUAAGAGACGGGUGCCAUCGUGACGCCUUUUCACAGAUGCGGAGAGAGGACAUUCUCAGAAUGCCCCGGGGGAUACGUGCUCUUAAAACUUUCAACAUGGUGAAGGCCUGGGAGGUGGUGGACCGCGACAAGAACGCUGGGAGUGUGACCAGCACAGGCCCGGAGGCGCCCAGGGCCUCAUCUCUCCGCGUCUGAGCUCCCGGUUUCAUGCUCAGCCAAGGAAUUCGAGCUUCACUUUUAGCGUCAGGGAGAAAACUAAAGAUUGGCUGUAUAAAAGCGUGCCAUUCUCUAAGAGGCUUGCCAUGUUUUCAAGACCUCUUGAGUCGUCGUGACUUCUGCCUCUUGACUUCGAUUCGACUCCGCAAGCAAUAAAACAGUAAAAGCACCUCAUUUCCUGCUCUCCAUGUACUGCAUUAAGGAGGUAUUUCUCCACCAGAGCUGCAGCUCCGAGGACCCUUCUGCCCGCCCGGCCGGGCUGCUCAGCUGGGUCCUCUCUCCAGACUUUCUUGAGGAAGCAGAGAAGCAUCUCAAACCCCAGCUUUUUGGUUCAUUUCUAUGCCAAACAUCUGGGGCUUGAAAAAGAACUGUGCAUGGAGAUAAAGUCACCACCGACUCUGUGGAAAGGAGCAUUAGGCAAAAAAGAAGUCGGACGCAUUAAUUAAAAUGGAAGACUAAAUGAGCUGCAGAAAAGGUCGUGAGCCAGGGUCCCCGUGUGGGAUCUCAUCCCCUUCAGGUUAAUUCUCUCAUCCUUCGGGUUCUUGCUUUUGACCUGCUGAAUUUGCAGACUUAGGAAACAGGACAUACAUGCAAACAAGUUCCGGCAAGCAACAGCUCGCAAACAAGAUGUUGCAGUGAAGGCUCAGAGAGGUCGAGGGACUCACCCACAGCCACACACAGCUCAGACGUGGCCAACAGGGCUGGAACUCAGUUUUCCAGCCCAUCUCAUUCUCUUGCCCCACAGGGCCUCUCAGGGCACAAGUCACUGCCUGACAAUCCAGAUUUAUGUGGACAUGCCUUGCAUUUCUUCAGGGAGCCUCAGCCAGGCCUUCCCUCUUCUGUGAGGUCAGGGGUGUGGCACCUCUUGCAUGUGUGCCCAGGAGCUUACGGAGAAACGUGUCCGGCCACUUUCCCGAGGCUUGACAGAUUUUCCCACAAUGGCGUGAAUGGACAAGAAAAUGCAGCUUUGCUUGACGGCCCCACCCCAGUGCCCCUCUCCUGACUCACAAGUCACCUGGGGUGCCAGCCCAGGAGACCCGGGUCACUGCCACGCCUCGAUGAAAACCUGCUCCCCGUGAGCCUGGCUAACACCCCAGUUAUUCGGCAUUGCUGAGGGGUCACGGACAGUUUAGCUGUUAAAGGUCUGGGUGAUGGGCUGGGGUCAGGGACACGGGCAUGCUGGGCCUUAGGGACCACCAUCCUGAAACAGGGACCGUAAAUCCUGUGCUCACGGUUUGGGGGAGACUAACAGGAGGUGAUCUUCAAUGUGCCGUGUGGAUUCGGGGGACACAACGGUCGGUCCACAGCAGCUGUGUGACACCUGCAGAGCAGCAGUGGGCCUCGCAAGCCCAGGCUGCACAGGAUGAGGGCUGAUCCUGUGGCAACCCGUACUCCAUCCCCCGCACGCCACGCGGCUUGCCCGCAGUGUCCAAGGUCAGGGAAGCGGUCAUGACCGUGAUUCAGCAGGAAGCAGACAAGAGAGCAGAGCCAAAAGGCCUGGGUUCUCCUCUCAGCUCUGACACUAACACUACCGGAUUUAAUAGCAUUUGUCGUCCAGACCCAGGGCGUCACACGCGAGGAGUCACAGGCAGGGAAAAGAAAGCUGCGGUGCUGCAAUCAGUCCAGGCUGAGGCCAUGUUCGCGGGGGUGGAUCCAACAGUUUUACCAUCUGCUCUAAAAGGCCAGCACCUGCCAAGGGGAAACUCCUCCUCUCCAGGCCCUGCCUCCUGAGGUGCUGACAUCCCUAACCCCUUCGGACGUCAGAAGGUGGCCACUCCAGAGCUUAAGCGACUUCACGAGGCCUCAUGGUUAGAAACUUCCAGAGCUGGCAUUUGAUGCCAGGUCUGCUGGAUUCUAAAACACGCCCUCUUCUCACCUAAGACCUUGCAGAGACCUGUCCCCAAGGAAGCUGGACUUGGUCUGCCACUCACUGCUGUUAUAGAAGAAGGACGGAGAGGUGGUUGCCUGUGUGGGCCAUUGCACUGGGAGGGGACAGGGCACAGAAGCUGAGGACUCAGAAGGGAAGUUCUGUCAAGGUAGUGACCCGCCUGUUCAGUUGUAAGGUGCAAGCUUCAUUUUCCGUCUGUGCCCACUCUGCUUUGCGUCUGUUGCCAUGGUUACUUCUAGUAGGGGAUAAAGGAGUCUGGCCACUGUCCGGCUGCUGGGCUGUCCUGAGGUCAUUUUACACCCAGUGUUUUCUCUGUCUUUAUUUUUUUUUUAGCCACACACGUGGCUUAUGGAAGUCUCCAGGACCAGGGAUGAAAUCCGAGUUCAGCUGCAGCCUACACCACAACUGCAGCAAUGCUGGAUCCUUAACCCACGGCACCACAGUGGGAACUCCUACAUUUUCUCUAUCCUUGAAUCGCAGCAAACUUGAACCUUCAGAAUGGCAAUGUCAAGUGUAGACAACGCAUGCUGAACUCCUUCCUGACUUGGGCAAAUAAGGGGGAUCCGAUCAUUUCACAGCAAGGCGGCCUCUGGUCAGCUCUCAUUAAUACCAUUCUCUCAGGGAGGUUUCCUCUGCCAGCAAUGCCCGUCCCCUUUAUAGGAAAAGACUCAGCAGUGGGCUAUAAGGAAAACUCUGACUGAUCAUUAUGCAAAGAUGACUAUUUCUUCACGACACGCGUGUCCGGGAGAGGAGACGGCAGCAGCCUCUCCUGGCGAGGCAGGAAGCAGGCCGCUGCAACCCUGCCUAAUUUCUGUCUGUCGUCUUUGAGGGUAGCUGGCUGGGGUAGGAUGGCCACGUCCGGGCAUAUGCCAUGAAUAGUCUUAGCUGCGGGCAUCGGACCGAGGAUGAGGGCGGUGCCUGUGUGCGCUGUUUGGGACUCAAAGUGUUUCUGCAUCUGUGCAUUUCAGGAGCCCACUAGAAACUUAUUUUCCCUGUGUUGCAAAGAAGAAGUCACGGGGUCGCCGGUAAGUGAGUGCAGCUGAUGCACGCCGCCCGCCUCGGCGCCAGCUCCUGCGCUCCUCAUUUCCAGUCCUAAGGACGACUCGGCGCCUUGGCUAUUUAUUGCCAUCCCCAGCCUUACCCCUGAGGACGCCAAAGCAGAAGAAGGUGAGGAGGCAGCGGCACUGUGGCACUGGAACCCUAUCUACCUGCCAGGGUGUUUUCCUGUGUGGGCGGCGCUGAAGGCUGCACGGUCUCAGGGUUCUCGGGGGACAGGCUUCUGCCUCAGAGAAGCUGAGCAUCUUGGCCAAAGUGACAAAGCCAGCAGUGGACCUUGGUGGGACACCCGUCCUUAGGCUCUGGGGCAUUUUAUUUGCUGCCGAGAUGUCCCUAAAGAAUAGUUCCCUGGGAUGGGUCACAAAAAUCAAUUGAAUGGAAGAAAGUUGCUAAAAGGAAGGAGACGCUCCAGGAAAGUUUUUAUCCAAGGGAUUUGGGACAAAAACAACGGCCUCCAAGAGAAAAGUGGAUGAGGUCUUGUUUCCUAUGGGUCUGGGUACCAGGAAAAUAUUCACAUGGGUGCUUUAUUUACACCAGCAGCCGCCGCCUGCUGGGAACUUGCGGCUUAGAUAAGAGAAGAUUCAGAGCUUCUGAACCCUCCCGGGCUACACAGGUGCAUGUGGGAGGGAUUUAAACUCAAUUUUUCAUCACAAACACUCACUGAAUCAGGUUACUUUUUUUUUUUUUUCUUUUUAGGCUGCCCCCAUGGCAUACGGAGGUUCCCAGCCUAGGGGUCGAAUUGGAGUUGCACCUGCCGGCCUACACCACAGCCACAGUAACAUCAGAGCCGAGCUGCAUCUGCGACUUACACCACAGCUCAUGGCAACGCCAGACCCUUAACCCACUGAGCAAGAGGCCAGGGAUGGAACCCGCAACUUCACAGUUCCUAGUCAGAUUCAUUUCCACUGUACCAGGAUGGGAACUCCGAAUCAGGUUACUUUUAACUGGAAAAAUACUGCAUUCAUCUGGCAAUGCCUGCCUACAGUGAAUACAAAUACGCGGUGAGCAGUGAGAGCUGAAUCACCCAUUGACCUUGAAGGAAAAGACGGCCCCUCUGACUGCAAGCAGCAAAACCGACCUGGAGUGUCAGACUCAGAAGCGCAUUGUGAGAAAGGAGGUGUGGGAUCUGUAUACGGUUUAGCUAGUCACCCGGGGACACCCAGUUGAUUCCUCCUGUGCCAAAGACUCACAUCCAGAAUUAAAAAGGCUUUGUUCAGAAGU
rnacentral:lncRNA from 1 species